rnacentral:lncRNA from 1 species
AUUAUCGUGUCAGCCAGCGUCAGUCAGUGCAUAGAUAAGUUAGUGUUAGUUCAUAGAGUUUGUUGUUGAUAAGAUUUUAUUUUAAAAAUAACUAUUAUGAAAAUAACGCCACUCGCCAUUUUAACACUGUCGAGAGUUGUUUUUCGGUGCUUUCAGUGCGCUUUUUCAUUCCAGUUGAUGUUUAUGUGAUAGUGAACACUUUGGAUGUCGUGUUUUAGUCUUAUUAUACUUGAUACCAGUACAUGGUGAUAACUGAAGGAAGCAAAAAGGUGCCUUUUUUCGACUAAAAACAAAGGCAGUAUGUUGUAAUUAGUAAAAAAAGGAUUUAUGAUGAUUGUUUGAUUGGACAACAAAUUAGAGAGAGGCUGAUCAUACUGAAACAACCAAUGUCUACAAUAGAAUCAUAUCUAAAUUCCACUGAAACAAGAAGUUGUCUGCUAUUGUAUUCCUCCUGGAUUUGGUUUCCUUUUUACAUUUACCAACUUUGGAAUGUUACAGUCUGUUGUUCAUUAAGUUGAGAAUGUUUGAUAUAAUUAAAAUCAAUUGCUCUUUAUUAAUCUGUUACCACUGUAUCUGUUUCAGAUCAACAUUGGAGAAGAUAGAAGAUCCCAUAGUUAAAAUAUUUCUCUAUUUUGUGUUUUUUUGUAGUGUAUUUUAUUUGAAUUAAUUUUAGUUUGUAUAGGUUAUUAUUUUUUUUGUAGUAGUGUACUAACAUAUUUUUCUUGUAGUAGUUAAAUAGUAGUCUAACAUGUCUCUUGCUUGCCUCUUCGCUUAGCUUACUGCAUAUUCUUCCUAUUUUGCUUUGCAUUUAC